CCUACGGGCGGCAGCAGUGGGGGAUAUUGCACAAUGGGGGGAACCCUGAUGCAGCGACGCCGCGUGGGUGAAGGAGUGCUUCGGCAUGUAAAGCCCUAUCGGCAGGGAAGAAGCAAGACGGUACCUGACUAAGAAGCCCCGGCUAACUACGUGCCAGCAGCCGCGGUAAUACGUAGGGGGCGAGCGUUAUCCGGAUUCACUGGGUGUAAAGGGAGCGUAGACGGCCAAGCAAGCCAGGGGUGAAAGCCCGGGGCCCAACCCCGGGACUGCCCUUGGAACUGCAUGGCUGGAGUGCGGGAGGGGCAGGCGGAAUUCCUAGUGUAGCGGUGAAAUGCGUAGAUAUUAGGAAGAACACCAGUGGCGAAGGCGGCUUUCUGGACUGAAACUGACGCUGAGGCACGAAAGCGUGGGGAGCGAACAGGAUUAGAUACCCCAGUAGUC
rnacentral:rRNA from 1 species